rnacentral:rRNA from 1 species
CCUACGGGAGGCAGCAGUGGGGAAUAUUGGGCAAUGGGCGCAAGCCUGACCCAGCAACGCCGCGUGAAGGAAGAAGGCUUUCGGGUUGUAAACUUCUUUUCUGGGGGACGAACAAAUGACGGUACCCCAGGAAUAAGCCACGGCUAACUACGUGCGAGCAGCCGGGGUAAUACGUAGGUGGCAAGCGUUAUCCGGAUUUAUUGGGUGAAAAGGGCGUGUAGGCGGGAAUGCAAGUCAGAUGUGAAAACUAUGGGCUCAACCCAUAGCCUGCAUUUGAAACUGUAUUUCUUGAGUGCUGGAGGGGCAGUCGGAAUUCCGUGUGUAGCGGUGAAAUGCGUAGAUAUACGGAGGAACACCAGUGGCGAAGGCGGAUUGCUGGACAGUAACUGACGCUGAGGCGCGAAAGCGUGGGGAGCAAACAGGAUUAGAUACCCCAGUAGUC